rnacentral:rRNA from 1 species
GACGAACGCUGGCGGCGUGCUUAACACAUGCAAGUCGAACGGUGAAGCUCCAGCUUGCUGGAGUGGAUCAGUGGCGAACGAGUGAGUAACACGUGAGCAACCUGCCCCUGACUCUGGAAUAAGCGCUGGAAACGGCGUCUAAUACUGGAUACGAGAAGGGUCCGCAUGGGCACUUUCUGGAAAGUUUUUCGGUUGGGGAUGGGCUCGCGGCCUAUCAGCUUGUUGGUGAGGUAAUGGCUCACCAAGGCGACGACGGGUAGCCGGCCUGAGAGGGCGACCGGCCACACUGGGACUGAGACACGGCCCAGACUCCUACGGGAGGCAGCAGUGGGGAAUAUUGCACAAUGGGCGAAAGCCUGAUGCAGCGACGCCGCGUGAGGGAUGACGGCCUUCGGGUUGUAAACCUCUUUCAGCAGGGAAGAAGCGAAAGUGACGGUACCUGCAGAAGAAGCACCGGCUAACUACGUG